UACGGGGGGAGCAAGCGUUGUUCGGAUUUACUGGGCGUAAAGGGCACGUAGGCGGCCACCGCAAGUCGACUGUGAAAUCUCCGGGCUUAACCCGGAAAGGUCAGCCGAUACUGCGGGGCUAGAGUGCAGAAGGGGCAACUGGAAUUCUCGGUGUAGCGGUGAAAUGCGUAGAUAUCGAGAGGAACACCUGCGGCGAAGGCGGGUUGCUGGGCUGACACUGACGCUGAUGCGCGAAAGCUAGGGGAGCGAACGGG
rnacentral:rRNA from 1 species